CCAUGUCACAUUGAAACACUGGUUCCUGUAUGAUCAUUGAAGUUAAGCAAUGUCGAGCCUGGUCAGUAACUAGAUGGGUGGCCACUGAGGAAUACUAGGUGCUGUAAG